AGAAUCAACGCUGGCGGCGUGCCUAACACAUGCAAGUCGCACGAGAAAGGGACUUCGGUCCUGAGUACAGUGGCGCACGGGUGAGUAACACGUGAAUUAUCUACCUCCGAGUGGGGAAUAACUGAGAGAAAUCUUAGCUAAUACCGCAUAACACUUACGAGUCAAAGCAGCAAUGCGCUUGGAGAGGAGUUCGCGGCAGAUUAGUUAGUUGGCGGGGUAAUGGCCCACCAAGACGAUGAUCUGUAUCCGGCCUGAGAGGGCGCACGGACACACUGGAACUGAAACACGGUCCAGACUCCUACGGGAGGCAGCAGUGGGGAAUUUUGCGCAAUGGGGGAAACCCUGACGCAGCAACGCCGCGUGGAGGAUGAAAUAUCUUGGUAUGUAAACUCCUUUCGAUGGGGAAGAUAAUGACGGUACCAUAGAAGAAGCCCGGCUAACUUCGCGCCAGCAGCCGC
rnacentral:rRNA from 1 species